CACACCAGGCCUGGAGAGUCUUCCCUUCUUUGAGCCAGUCACACCUGAUACCGAUCAGCCUGACUCUCACAAACCCAGAGUAGCGGAGCCGCAUUCAGUGUGGGAUCAUUAAACUAGGAACACGGAGGAUUGUGGAAAUGUGUGGAGGGAGCAGAACACUGACGUAAGUAGGACUGAGGAGGACACAACGCUUACCACGAAUCAUGGAGGCUAAUCACUGCAUGGGAAUUGGAAACGAGCACACGGAGGACUCACACAUUGUGGAUUGUUGGCACAGUUUUGUUUUUUUCCAUUAUAAAUGCUUCUUCCUUCUGAAAGUCCUGCGUAUGAGUCCUACUUCAACCAACCCUGACAUUGCCGCGUUGUGUCAGUUCAUUGAACAUUAUGUAAAGUAUCUGAAAGGUCCCUGUUAAUGUAUUAGUGUUACUGUUUUCUAAUAUACAAACAUAAUACAAUAGUUUAUUACAAGUGAACAAUUCCCUGCACACAGUGAGUGCUGAAUAUAAGGUCAUCCGGGGGUCCUCGGCAAGAUUUUACCGGGAGGCCCUUUAACCAAAGCCCCUCACCUAUAAGUUAUAAAUAAUCUGACACCGAAAAAACAAAAACAAAAACAAAAAAAAAAACUGUACACUUAAUUGAGUCACGUCACAGCCAGCAAAACUCACAUUAAAUCGGAAAAUAAUUAAAAUAAAUAAUGUAACGCUAGUGGAAGUUAUUUUAUUCAAGUGUUGCUCUCUUGCUAUCUCUCUUUGUCACACAGUUGAGGCUAGACCAGUGACUGCAUCAGCUAUUUCUAUAGUCACUGGGCUAGACAUUUAGCAACAUUUAGUCAUUAAGUUACAUUAUUAUCUGUUCCACUCAGCACUAUCAUGGUUUUUUUCUGCUCAUCUGCUCAUGUUUCUCCUAAACCUGUGCAAACUGCACAAUGCCAAAGCUAUAUUUUAAAAAGAUCAAAGUUUUGAUCAAAGAUUUAAAAAAAAAAAAAAAAAAAUCUUUUGUGUAUGCAAAAAAAAAAAAAAAAAAAUCUUUUUUUUUUUUUGCAUACACAGUAGAGUCUUUACAGGUUCAUCAAAGAUAGAAAAUUAUUCUUGUCACAACCCGGCUCAUAGGAAGUGACAAACAAAUGGGAGACCACACACAGGCUUUUAAAGACUGUAAGACAUAUUUAAUGAAAAUAAGGUAGAGCAACUUAAACACAAGUUAGAGGACAUAACAGCCAUAACUGAAACUUCCAAAUAAACAUAACACGUGCC
ensembl:lncRNA